AAUAGGAGAAUGACAAAUCAGAUUUUUCCUUCUGAUUUUCAGCUUUUCCCCCUUAAAAAAAUUUAAAUUCAACUAAAAAUGCUAAAAGUUUAAGGGAAAAAUCUGAUUUAUCAUUUUCCCAUU
rfam:Gossypium hirsutum cultivar TM-1 chromosome 19, whole genome shotgun sequence